GACAGAGGGUGCAAGCGUUGUUCGGAAUUACUGGGCGUAAAGCGCGUGUAGGCGGCUAUGCAAGUCGGGUGUGAAAGCCCUCGGCUCAACCGGGGAAGUGCACCCGAAACUGCAAAGCUAGAGUCUCGGAGAGGAUCGUGGAAUUCUCGGUGUAGAGGUGAAAUUCGUAGAUAUCGAGAGGAACACCGGUGGCGAAGGCGGCGAUCUGGACGGUGACUGACGCUGAGACGCGAAAGCGUGGGGAGCAAACAGG
rnacentral:rRNA from 1 species